rnacentral:rRNA from 1 species
CCCUUAGAUGUUCUGGGCUGCACACGUGCUACACUGGUAGGUUCAGCGAGCUUCAUGCCCUGAUCUGAAAGGAAUGGGAAAUCUUUUCAAAACCUGCCGUGCUUGAGAUAGAUGUUUGCAAUUAUUCAUCUUCAACGAGGAUUGCCUUGUAAGCGCACGUCAUCAGCGUGCAUUGAAUACGACCCUGUAUUCUGUACACACCGCCCGUCGCUCCUACCGAUUGAAGUUUUCGGUGAGUUGACAGGAGGAUUUUUUUGAAACUGGUUCGCCAGUGGAUUUUAGAUCCAAAUGCCAACGAAUCGAUGGCUUUAGAGGAAGGAGAAGUCGUAACA